rnacentral:sRNA from 1 species
GCCGUUAGCCUAACCGCAAGGGGGGCGACGACCACGGAGUGGUUCAUGACUGGGGUGAAGUCGUAACAAGGUAGCCGUAUCGGAAGGUGCGGCUGGAUCACCUCCUUUCGAGAAAGGCAGCAUCACUGCUGCAAGACGUCCACACAAGACACCUGCACAUCCGCACGCCACCAGGCGUGAGAGCCCAAAGGGCUCAUGAAGCUUUAUGGGUCUGUAGCUCAGGUGGUUAGAGCGCACCCCUGAUAAGGGUGAGGCCGGUGGUUCGAGUCCUCCCAGACCCACCACUUUGGGGCCAUAGCUCAGCUGGGAGAGCACCUGCUUUGCAAGCAGGGGGUCGUCGGUUCGAUCCCGACUGGCUCCACCAGUUAGUGACGGAUGUGUAGCGCACACAAAAGAUUUUAGAGAGCCGGCGGCGUUGAGGCCGUUUGGCUGUUCUUUGAAAAUGUAAACGAGUGACAAGCGUUUUGGUUCGAAACCGAACCGAGAUGUGUCGUUGAGGCAACGGCGAUGCGUCGUUUGGCAUAACUUCGAGGCGACUUGGGGUUAUAUGGUCAAGCGACCAAGCGUAUACGGUGGAUGCCUUGGCGGUCAGAGGCGAUGAAGGACGUGGCAGCCUGCGAAAAGUGUCGGGGAGCUGGCAACAAGCUUUGAUCCGGCAAUGUCCGAAUGGGGAAACCCACCGCGUAAGCGGUAUCGUGCAGUGAAUUCAUAGCUGUACGAAGCGAACCCGGGGAACUGAAAUAUCUNAGUACCCGGANGAAAAGAAAUCAACCGAGAUUCCCUCAGUAGCGACNAGCGAACGGGGAGUAGCCCAAAAGCGCACGAUGUUUUAGUCGAACGGUCUGGAAAGUCCGGCCAUAGCGGGUGAUANCCCCGU